UGGGGAAUAUUGCACAAUGGAGGGAACUCUGAUGCAGCGACGCCGCGUGAACGAAGAAGGCUUUCGAGUCGUAAAGUUCUUUUAUAUGGGAAGAUAAUGACGGUACCAUAAGAAAAAGCCCCGGCUAACUACGUGCCAGCAGCCGCGGUAAUACGUAGGGGGCCAGCGUUGUCCGGAAUCACUGGGCGUAAAGGGUUCGCAGGCGGAAAUGCAAGUCAGGUGUAAAAGGCAGUAGCUUAACUACUGUAAGCAUUUGAAACUGCAUAUCUUGAGGAGGGUAAAGGUAAGUGGAAUUUUUAGUGUAGCGGUGAAAUGCGUAGAUAUUGAAAAGAAUACCGGUGGCGAAGGCGGCUUACUGGGCUCAUUCUGACGCUGAGGAACGAAAGCGUGGGUAGCAAACAGG
rnacentral:rRNA from 1 species